CUGAUGAAUCACAGAGCGUGAUGAUGAUGAUGAUGAUGGUGAUGAUGGUGAUGAUGAUGACGAUGACGAUGAUGGUGAUGAUGGUGCAAGAAAAAUUAUAUAAGCCGCUUUGUAGUAUUCGUCCAAAAGACUGGGAUCACUUAAUGGCAUCAUGGUUUGGCUCAGGCACACCAUUCAGCCAAUCAGAGAUGCCUAUCAGCGGAUCCAAGACGGCUUGACUAAUCACGACUGUCCUUGCAUACUAGUACGUGCCCUAUCGCGUGCAGGCAGUAGAGGCGACAUCUCGAGGCGUCGAGAGGAUAGAGCCUUGGUGACCGCCGCGUUUGUCUUCCUCAUCAGGUAGUGCCGUGUCGCGUGGGUUUCACAGGCUUUGUUUUAUUUCUUAAGUGAAUAAAUUCUGUGGCGUGGACGGACGUGUGGUGUGUCACGACGAUCAGGAUAGAGAUGAGGUGUGUGUACGUGUGUUUGCUGGUCGUCCCCUUCCCCCUCCCCACGUAGCCCGCCAGCAGCCCGCCAUCCGCACCCGCCGCCUCUGGAAAGCGAAGUGGCGAAGAGAGAAAAAUGGCGACAAGGACGAAGGGAGGAAGACGAUGGCAAGAUUGCAAUUUUGGCUGACCGGUGCACGGUGGGGAGAGCCAAUCACUACAUUGAGGGGCGUCUCGGUCAAGGCAAGUCUUCAUGACGCAAGAGGUGUCCUUGGUAACCUGCACAAUGCAACGCACCUGGAAAAGUGUUUGUCCACCAGCAGCACUUCCCACAUAGGCAGCCUUGGUCGUAGUCCUCACGUUUGUAUGAAAAUUGUUGGCGUACCUAAAAUCAAUCGAUGAACCACGUAUGGGUCGUAUGGAAGAACCUUGAUGUAUUGAUAGUGUUUUAGCUUGAAGUUAUUGUGUAUCACAGUCAUCUCCAUAACAGGAAUAAAAUGUAAAUGAAAAUAAAUGGAAAAAUUAAUAGUUGCGUGCGUAAAUGGUCAAAUAUGUGGAUGGAUGGUUAAGUGGAUGGACAAAUAGGUAACUUAAUAUACUCUCUCUCUCUCUCUCUCUCUCUCUCUCUCUCUCUCUCUCUCUCUCUCUCUCUCUCUCUCUCUCUCUCUCUCUCUCUCUCUCUCUCUCUCUCUCUCUCUCUCUCUCUCUCUCUCUCUCUCUCUCUCUCUCUCUCUCUCUCUCUCUCUCUCUGACCCACACACACACACACACACACACACACACACACACACACACACACACACACACACACACACACACACACACACACACACACACACACACACACACACACACACACACACACACACACACACACACACACACACACACACACACACACACAAACUUAAUUCAAAGUCCCACGCAGUCAUCAUGGCCCGCGGGAUCGCUCCUCCUCGCAUCCCUCGCCUCCACUCACCGUCACCCUCACUGGAUGGAGAGGCGCCGCUUCCCACCACACACAAAGUUCCCUGACAUUUGUAAAUAUCAGGCACCUCAAAUUGAAAUGAA